AGAGGAGGAACUGAGGAGAGGAGGAGAGGAGGAGAGAAAAACAAUUGAACUAUUUGAAGUGGUGAUAUGAAUCAGAUGUUGUUGUCCUCUCACUGCUAGACAUGACUUCACCACUAAGGUGAUUCAUCUGUUGUUGUCCUCUUACUACUAGACAUGACUUCACCACCAAGGUGAUUCAUCUGUUGUUGUCCUCUUACUACUAGACAUGACUUCACCACCAAGGUGAUUCAUCUGUUGUUGUCCUCUUACUACUAGACAUGACUUCACCACCAAGGUGAUUCAUCUGUUGUUGUCCUCUCACUGCUAGACAUGACUUCACCACCAAGUUGAUUAAUCUGUUGUUGUCCUCUUACUGCUAGACAUGACUUCACCACCAAGGUACUUCAUCUGUUGAUGUCCUCUUACUGCUAGACAUGACUUCACCACUAAGGUCUUCAUCCAUCACAAUGUGGGAGGCCUCCUCCACCGUGACAGCUUUGUCACCAGAUCCUCACUGGCCUUCAACCGGAACCACAUUUCCAAAAGACCUGCAGCUCCUGCUGCUCUGAGGGAGCCAGGAGACACCUCAGUAUAACCUCCCCCCCCAGGCCUGCUGCUCUGAGGGAGCCAGGGGACACCUCAGUAUAACCUCCCCCCAGGCCUGCUGCUCUGAGGGAGCCAGGGGACACCUCAGUAUAACCUCCCCCCAGGCCUGCUGCUCUGAGGGAGCCAAGGGACACCUCAGUAUAACCUCUCCCCAGGCCUGCUGCUCUGAGGGAGCCAGGGGACACCUCAGUAUAACCUCCCCCCAGGCCUGCUGCUCUGAGGGAGCCAGGGGACACCUCAGUAUAAC
rnacentral:lncRNA from 1 species